GUCGUGCUGGUGCGGAAGGCUGCGUCGCCAUUCGGGUCGGCGAUGGUCGACGGGCGCACGUCGCGGUCGAUCUGCGCGAUCAGCGCGGCGC
rnacentral:tRNA from 1 species